GUUAGCCUACGGGAGGCAGCAGUGGGGAAUAUUGCACAAUGGGGGAAACCCUGAUGCAGCGACGCCGCGUGGGUGACGAAGUAUUUCGGUAUGUAAAGCCCUAUCAGCAGGGAAGAAGAUGACAGUACCUGACUAAGAAGCCCCGGCUAACUACGUGCCAGCAGCCGCGGUAAUACGUGGGGGGCAAGCGUUAUCCGGAUUUACUGGGUGUAAAGGGAGCGGAGGUGGCAUGGUAAGCC
rnacentral:rRNA from 1 species